rnacentral:rRNA from 1 species
UACGAAGGGGGCUAGCGUUGCUCGGAAUUACUGGGCGUAAAGGGCGCGUAGGCGGACAGUUUAGUCAGAGGUGAAAGCCCAGGGCUCAACCUUGGAAUUGCCUUUGAUACUGGCUGUCUUGAGUACGGGAGAGGUGUGUGGAACUCCGAGUGUAGAGGUGAAAUUCGUAGAUAUUCGGAAGAACACCGGUGGCGAAGGCGACACACUGGCCCGUUACUGACGCUGAGGCGCGAAAGCGUGGGGAGCAAACAGG